UACAGAGGUCCCAAGCGUUGUUCGGAUUCAUUGGGCGUAAAGGGUGCGUAGGUGGCGCGCUAAGUCAGGUGUGAAAUUUCGGAGCUCAACUCCGAAACUGCAUUUGAUACUGGCGUGCUUGAGGACUGGAGAGGAGACUGGAAUUCACGGUGUAGCAGUGAAAUGCGUAGAUAUCUGGAGGAACACCGGUGGCGAAGGCGGCGUUCUGGACUGCAACUGACACUGUAAAACGAAAGCCAGGGGAGCAAACGGG
rnacentral:rRNA from 1 species